rnacentral:rRNA from 1 species
GCGUGCGUGAAGAAGGCCUUAGGGUUGUAAAGCGCUUUCACCCGUGACGAUGAUGACGGUAGCGGGAGAAGAAGCCCCGGCUAACUCCGUGCCAGCAGCCGCGGUAAUACGGAGGGGGCAAGCGUUGUUCGGAAUUACUGGGCGUAAAGGGCGCGUAGGCGGCUGUCUAAGUUGGGCGUGAAAGCCCCGGGCUCAACCUGGGAAUUGCGCUUGAUACUGGACGGCUUGAGACCGGGAGAGGUGAGCGGAAUUCCCAGUGUAGAGGUGAAAUUCGU